CUAACAGCCCUGGAGACUGAAGUCCUCUAGUUAUUCAGAGGACAAGAAGCUGUCGUGAAGGUUUUCCCCACAUUAUCCCCCCGUUGUGUCAACUCUUAGGAAGGAUACACCUCCAAAGGUGAGAUGGGGUUCAGUUUCCAUGGCCCAGUCCAUCUUCAGCCUUU
rnacentral:sRNA from 1 species